rnacentral:rRNA from 1 species
GACGAACGCUGGCGGCGUGCUUAACACAUGCAAGUCGAACGGAAAGGCCCUGCUUGCAGGGUACUCGAGUGGCGAACGGGUGAGUAACACGUGGGUGAUCUGCCCUGCACUUCGGGAUAAGCCUGGGAAACUGGGUCUAAUACCGGAUAGGAGCCAUUUUUUGUGUGAUGGUUGGAAAGUUUUUUCGGUGUAGGAUGAGCUCGCGGCCUAUCAGCUUGUUGGUGGGGUAAUGGCCUACCAAGGCGGCGACGGGUAGCCGGCCUGCGAGGGUGGACGGCCACAUUGGGACUGAGGGACGGCCCAGACGCCUACGGGAGGCAGCAGGGGGGAAGAUUGCACAAGGGGCGCAAGCCGGAUGCAGCGACGCUGCGGGGGGGAUGACGGCCUUCGGGUUGGAAACUCCUUUCGCUAGGGACGAAGCUUUUUGUGACGGUACCUAGAGAAGAAGCACCGGCUAACUACGUG